rnacentral:rRNA from 2 species
CAACUUUCAGCAACGGAUCUCUUGGCUCUCGCAUCGAUGAAGAACGCAGCGAAAUGCGAUAAGUAAUGUGAAUUGCAGAAUUCAGUGAAUCAUCGAAUCUUUGAACGCACCUUGCACUCCUUGGUAUUCCGAGGAGUAUGCCUGUUUGAGUGUCAUU